GACAGAGGGUGCAAACGUUGUUCGGAAUUACUGGGCGUAAAGGGCGCGUAGGCUGUGCUGUAAGUCAGGCGUGAAAGCCCCGGGCUCAACCUGGGAAUUGCGCUUGAUACUGCGGCGCUGGAAGGUGGGAGAGGAUGGCGGAAUUCCCAGUGUAGAGGUGAAAUUCGUAGAUAUUGGGAAGAACACCGGUGGCGACGGCGGCCAUCUGGCCCACAAUUGACGCUGAGGCGCGAAAGCGUGGGGAGCAAACAGG
rnacentral:rRNA from 1 species